ensembl:lncRNA
CAAUUGUUGGAAAGAUUAUUUGUGUCAUGCACAAAGUAGAUGUCCUAACCGACUUGCCAAAACUAUAGUUUGUUAAUAAGAAAUUUGUGAAGUGGUUGAAUAACGAGUUAAUCACUCCAACCUAAGUGUAUGUAAACUUCCGACUUCAACUGUGUCUAUAUGAAUCUAUAUUGAUAGAUGGAUAUAUCUAUAUCGCUCCCUAUUUCUCUGUGUGAGAUGUGUGUUAUCUUCUUGUACAGAACGGACACAGAAAAAGAAGAUUGUGGCGAUCGGUGUGACCUCUACCAUCCUGUUGGGUGUCAUGGUAGUGGGCCUUAUGCUCUUCAUCUACAGGCACCAUAAGAAAAUCAAACAGUUCCUUCAGCCCCCACUACGGUUACCAGACCACUAUUGUGAGUACCUGUCAGGGGUGUUCCCCCAGCAGGCCCUGUCCCUCACAACCAGUCCCUGUGAAGACCGCCAUGAUAUCAUCUCCAUCAUCUGCCUUGAAGAGGACCUGAUUCCUGAGUCUGACAGAGAACAGGAUUAUGACUUACCUAAUGGACUGGAUUUCUUAGAUCAUUAUGAAUGAUCCUGUGACUUCAGACAUGAGACUUUUGCACUCCAUUAGGAUUUGAGAUUAACUUGAUAGCGUCAGAACAUUAACUAGGGGCGGCAGGUAGCCUAGUGGUUAGCGUGUUGGGUCAGUAACCGAAAGGUUGCUGGAUCGAAUCCCCGAGCUGACAAGGUAAAAAUAUGUCGUUCUGCCCCUGAGCAAGGCAGUUAACCCACUGUUCCCCGGUAGGCCGUCAUUGUAAAUAAGAAUUUGUCUAGUGAACUGAUUUGCUUAGUGAAAUAGUUUUAUAGUAGGCCUGGCUAUUGCACUGUUUCCACUCCAAAGGCUUUGCUUAGCAUCAGCUACCAACAUUAUUGUUGAUCAAAAGAAAACUAUUUUACUAUAAAGUAAACAUCUGUGGGUAUUUCAGUUUGCUCUGCAACCGGGGCCAGAGAAAGAUGCUUGUGUCUCAGUAAUUACACCUACCCAGUAGCUGGAUAUUCAUUGGAUAAUAAUAGGUGCAAUCAGGUAGUCCAGCUAAAAAUAGAACCGCUAUACAUUUCUAAAUCAUUUUAGGAAAGUGCUGAGGUUUUCUGGAAAAGUAAGAAAGUGUCCUUGGGCCAGGACUUAAAUUGGGGAUUUUUGUUUGUUACAUUACUGCUGUAUAUUACAAAUCUGUACAUUUCACACUAUUUCUAUGUAUUAAAAAAUAAUUAGAAUGUUUAAUGGGGUACUUUGGGAUUUAAGCAAUGCUAACUACCGUUAGUGCAAUGACUGGGAAGGAAUGCUAACUACCGUUAGUGCAAUGACUGGAAAGUUCAUGGGUAUCUGCUAGCAGGUAAUGUUACGAACCAAUUAAAUUACAUUUUCCCUGAGGAGUACUGUAUGUACAGUGCCUUGCGAAAGUAUUCGGCCCCCUUGAACUUUGCGACCUUUUGCCAUAUUUCAGGCUUCAAACAUAAAGAUAUAAAACUGUAUUUUUUUUGUGAAGAAUCAACAACAAGUGGGACACAAUCAUGAAGUGGAACGACAUUUAUUGGAUAUUUCAAACUUUUUUAACAAAUCAAAAACGGAAAAAUUGGGCGUGCAGUUCAGAAAGUCACCGCCAAACCCCUAUUUUAACCCUUUCUUCUAACUUUUCUACUCUUCACCACGCUCUGCAUGUAAUAUUUUUACAACAACUGUGAGAAAGUCAGUUCUGGUAACUUAAAAACAAACAACAACAAAAAUAUGUGAAAAAAAGGAUGCUGAUACUAUCUGAAAUAUAAUUUCCCCCUCCAUAAACGAGCCAACAUAUUGGGUCAUAUUAUCAGGCUGCUGUGCCAUUUAGCAAUAAGCAUUAUUAAUUACAAUAUCACCUGCAGGCCAACCGAUGCAGCAUAGUGGCUGUAAAUAGGGGCGGAAUGGUUCACCAAAAUCCACAGUUCUGUACAUAUUGCUGUUUUGGGGUCACGGUUUGGUUUCGGUACAGUGGGAAAAUUAAAUGCCAUUCACAAUGUCCCUGGCAUUUUCUGUUGUGACAGGAUUGUUAUGUUGUGUUUCUGCUCUAAUGCUGCUUUUGUUACCAUGUUGGAAUUGACCAGUUCUGAAGAUAUAAAUACCAGUUGGAUGCAUUUAUUUGAUUUGAACUUGUUGAGAAACACCAAUUGGCUAAUGGCCAACAAGCUGUGUCAAACAUAAACCAAAAGUACAGCUAUCAUGCUUGUAAACAAACGAGUGUUAAACAGAUUCACUUUUUAUAAAUAAUGUUUUGGCCCGUCAGGAAGUCCAGGAUCUAGAAUUUAAUCCCAGGGUCCUUAGCUUAGUGAUGAGCUUUGUGGGCACUAUGGUGUUGAACGCUGAGCUGUAGUCAAUGAAUAGCAUUCUCAGAUAAGUGUUCCUUUCAUCCAGGUGGGAAAGGGCAGUGUGGAGUGCGAUUGAGAUUGCGUCAUCUGUGGAUCUAUUGGGACGGUAUGUGAAUUGUAGUAGGUCUAGGGUUUCCGGGAUGACGGUGUUGGUGUGAGCCAUUACCAGCCUUUCAAAGCACUUCAUGGCUACCGACAUGAGUGCUACGGGGUGGUAGUCAUUUAGAAAGGUUACCUUUGCAUUCUUGGGCAUAGGGACUAUGGUGGUCUGCUUGAAACAUGUAGGUAUUACAGACUCUGUCCGGGAGAGGUUGAAAAUGUCAGUGAAGACACUUGCCAGUUGGUCCAUGCAUGCUCUGGGUACGCACCCUGGUAAUCCGUCUGGCCCUGCGGCCUUGUGAAUGUUGACCUGUUUAAGAGAUCUUGCUCACAUCGGCUACGUACAGCGUGAUCACACAGUCGUUUGGAACAGCUGGUGCUCUCAUGCAUGCUUCUGUGUUGCUUGCCUCGAAGUGAGCAUAAAAGGCAUUUAGCUCAUCUUGCGUCACUGGGCAGCUCGCAGCUAUGUUUCCCUUUGCAGUCUGUAAUAGUUUGCCAAGUUUGACAAGCAUCAUAGCCGGUGUAGCAGUGGAAAAAGUACCCAAUUGUCAUACUUGAGUAAAACUAAAGAUACCUGAAUAGAAAUUUACUCAAGUAAAAGUGAAAGUCACCCAGUAAAAUUACUACUUGAGUAAAAGUCUCAAAUUAUUUGGUUUUAAAUAUACUUAAGAAUCAAAAGUAUAAAUCAUUUCAAAUUCCUUAUAUAAAGCAAACCAGACGUGACCAUUUUCUUGUUUUUAAAAUGUAUGGAUAGAGUCAGUCACACUCCAACACUAUAUAUAAAAGAUGCAUUUGUGUUUAGUGAGUUUGGCAGAACAUAGGCAGUAGGGAUUACCACGUGUUCUCUUGAUAAGUGUGUGAAUUUCACAAUUUCCUGUCCUGCUAAGCAUUCAAAAUGUAACAAGUACUUUUGGGUGUCAGGGAAAAUGUAUGAAGUAAGAAGUACAAUAUUUUCUUCAGGAAUGUAGUGAAGUAAAAGUAGUCAAAAAAAUAUAGUAAAUUACAGAUGCCCCAAAAAACAACUUAAGAAGUACUUUAAAGUAUUUUUACUUAAGUACUUCACACUACUGCGGUGUAGUAGAAUUCAAUCUUAGUCCUGAUGCUUUGCCUGUUCGAUGGUUCGUCUGAGGGCGUAGCGGGAUUUCUCAUAAGCGUCCGGAUUAGUGUCCUGCUCCUUCAAAGCGGCAGCAGAUAGGAUUCCUUAUUGAGUUCUUCAAUAUCAUAUAAUUUGUCCCAUACCCAUUGCAGUGUUUUAGAUAUCAAAGAAUGAGACAUGUAGCUGUAACAGCUUUCUUCCUGGGAAGGAGAGGCGGACCAAAACACAGCGUGGUUAGGGUUAAACAUCUUUAAUAAAGACAAAUACCGAGAAACACUACAAAUAUACAAAACAAUACAUGUGAAAACCGAAACAGUCCUGUGUGGUGAAACAGACACGGAAAUAAUCACCCACAAAACCCAACACCAAACAGGCUACCUAAAUAUGGUUCCCAAUCAGAGACAAUGACUAACACCUGCCUCUGAUUGAGAACCAUAUCAGGCCAAACACAGAAACAGACAAACUAGACACACAACAUAGAAUGCCCACCCAGCUCACGUCCUGACCAACACUAAAACAAGGAAAACACACAAGAACGAUGGUCAGAACGUGACAGUAGCUGUUCAGUGUAAAUGAAAGAAAAGAUGUGCCAAGUGUGGAGGGGAACAUUAUUAUGGUGAAUGUGGGAGGUUAAGGUUAAGUGUUGUAACCCUGAAGAAAGAACAGUGAUGCCCAAACAUUGGUGUUUUACCCAAUUAAUUACUGGGAGUUAUACAAUAUACUGUACCAGUCAAAAGUUUGGACACACCUACUCAUUCAAGGGAUUUUCAUUAUUUGUACUAUUUUCUACAUUGUAGAAUAAUAGUGAAGACAUCAAAACUAUGAAAUAACACAUAGAAUCAUGUAGUAACCCAGAGAUGUAGUAGUUAUUUAAGAAAAGUCAUUGUAAACACUAUUAUUGCACACAGAGUGAGUCCAUGCACGUUUACACCCAAACUUAUUUAGGCUUGCCAUAACAAAACGGUUGAAAACUUAUUGACUCAAGACAUUUGAGCUUUUCACUUUUAAUUGAUUUAUAAACAUUUCUAAAAACAUAAUUCCACUUUGACAUUAUGGGCUAUUGUGUGUAGUAGAGCAGUGACACAAAAUCCAAAUUUCAUCCAUUUUAAAUUCAGGCUGCAACAACAAUAUCUGGAAACAGUCAAGGGGUGUGAAUACUUUCUGAAGACAUUGUAGUUAGUUACUCAUCAAGAAACAGUAAAAACACCUGGAUCCAUAUUGAAACCAAGAAACCAAGAAGACUGAAUAAGAAAGGAGAUAUAAGCCUGCUUACUGCUGUGCAAUGUCACAUUGCAAUGAAGUCAAUUACUAUUGUAGAUUCUCAAAUUGAAAUAAAAACUAAACGUUGGUUCUGGAAGUUCCAAGUUAACUCACGUAUUUUAGGGUUUGUUAUUAAGAAGAGAGAGGAAAGAGAGGGGAUAUUGUGCAUCUCAGUUCUCCUUACAAGCCUUGCUCAACUUUUUUUUCCCUCUGCAAACCCACAGCUACUGAGGACUGGGCCAAACCAAAAGCAUAAUUAGCGGCGGGGGGGAUCCAAUCAUAAAAGGAGGAAAUGAGUAGCACUGUGUGAUGCAAAGACAGAAAGCCAGUAGCAGCCUGGUGCUUUAGAGUGGAGGAAAAAAUAAUCACGGUAUAUUGUUGAGGGCGGGCAAAUUGAGUCGUCAACUUUCAACUUUCUGAAAAGGCAACUGCUCACGAAUGCGGGUGUGCGCAUUUUUCGACCACUUUGCGGAGCCUUUAGCGACGAUGCUAAUGUAAUGACAACCAUCUUCUGGUAGAUGGCAAGGCUCCCAAAAACUUUUUUUUUUAAUGUGAGCUAGCUAUAGAUGUUUGCCGUUAUCAGCUGCCUACUUGACUAGCUAAGAUUGCUACUGUUAGUUAGCUAACAUGCUGACCACACAGCUCGCGUCGCUUGCGGGUGCGCGAGUGUUGCAAAAUAAAUGGACACAUACUUGUUAUUCAAUCAUUGCACCCACACAUUUGUGAUGCUUAAUGUUCUGCAAGUCCCGCCUCUCCCAUCUCCUCAUUGGUUUUUAGGAGCAUAUACCCAUGUGGGUGAUUGAAAGAUGAAUUGUGGUAACAGCUAGCUAAAUUGCCAUAAAUUAUAAAUGCUUUUCGACCUGUCACCAAAUUAGUAUAGUUGGUUCAGAGUUAAUUCAACCUGCGUGUCCUGAUUGCAUCUGGUUCUGGUGGACAAAAUCAACAUGCGUGUUUAAGAGCGGUCUGGUCAGCAUGCAAGACUACACGCUUCAAGCUAGUCAUAUGAGUAGCACGUAAAACCUACACUGCGAACUCUAAACAGAUAUUUAGUGAAAUAUUGUAUUAAUUAUCAUUAAUUAUAACAAGGUUUGCUGUUCAUCUAGUUAGCUAGCCGAAAUUAGAAUGCUAGCUAGCUAGUGUUACGUAGCUAAAAAUAACACUAUGUCUCAAAUGGCAUGUAAACUCAGUGGAGGAUUUGCUUUGCUUUCAAAAUCAGACUCUCCAAUAGCUGCUCUUUGUUGUAUAAAUAGUCAUGUUACUACCAAUACAAAUCUGUAGGUCUGUAGUUUCUGCAGCUGAACAGUUGGGACAUGAACCGGUGUUGUGUUUUCUUAUCUGAUCUUUUUCUGUCCCCAUUCCACCUGGCCGUGCUGCUGCUCCAGUUUCAACUGUUCAGCCUGUGGCUAUGGAACCCUGACCUGUUCACCGGACUUGCUCCCUGUCCCAGACCUGCUGUUUUCAACUCUCUAGAGACAGCAGGAAUGGUAGCGAUACUCUUAAUGAUCGGCUAUGAAAAGCCAACUGACAUUUACUCCUGAGGUGCUGACUUGCUGCACCCUCGACAACUACUGUGAUUAUUAUUUGACCAUGCUGGUCAUUUAUGAACAUUUGAACAUCUUGGCCAUGUUCUGUUAUAAUCUCCACCCGGCACAGCCAGAAGAGGACUGGCCACCCCUCAUAGCCUGGUUCCUCUCUAGGUUUCUUCCUAGGUUUUGGCCUUUCUAGGGAGUUUUUCCUAGCCACUGUGCUUCUACACCUGCAUUGCUUGCUGUUUGGGGUUUUAGGCUGGGUGUCUGUACAGCACUUUGAGAUAUCAGCUGAUGUACGGAGGGCUAUAUAAAUUGAUUUGAUUUGAUUAAUUGAAGCCUUUGUGUCCUUUGCAGUGACACCACUCUGCCCCAUGAGGAGUCAUCAUGACAUUGGGGGAUGUGUCAGGGGAGGUGUUAAAAAAAGGUUUUGACAGAGAGAAGCCACAAUAGUUCACAGUGCAGGAGAGAGACCAGAAGGACACUAUAAAUGCCCACUGGGCACACACUGGUUGACAAUCAACGUUGUUUCCACGUCAUUUCCAUUAAGUUACAUUGAACCAUGGCAUUUCUAGGACAGUGAGAUGUUUCAUACAUAAUUACCCAAGAGGAAGGCAGGUCUGGACUUCACGCGCUGAAUGAUACACCCUAUGACGGCUUCCGGUGGGGGCGGUCCUGCUUUGUAGCAUUUCGCAGAAGGCUUUGUGUUAUACUGAUUGCACUAUAGGUGUUUGUGAGUGUAGAUAUGGUUGUCCUUGUUCCGUUGGCGGAUUCAUUACAACAACAAAAAAGAAUCCGGUCUCUGAAAGACUACAACUUGUGUUCGGUGAUGCUUCGUGUUCUGGCCCCCGUCUGUCCCCCAAGGCGGGCUUUUUUUUUUAAAGGAGGCAGACACUAACAACACAAACCUUCGGGCAAAAUUGAAAGUACUGACCAGAAGCAAUGGCUUCAAGUGAUCCUCUCAUGAACACGAAUUUGACGAUGGAGAAUUAGUUUUUACUGUUCUAUUAGCUACAUGGUGACAUUGCCAGCAGCAUACGACCCUGCAUACCACCCAGCAUACCACCCUGCAUACCACCCAGCAUACCACCCAGCAUACCACCCUGCAUACCAGCCAGCAUACCACCCUGCAUACCACCCAGCAUACCACCCAGCAUACCACCCUGCAUACCAGCCUGCAUACCACCCAGCAUACCACCCAGCAUACCACCCUGCAUACCACCCAGCAUACCACUGCUGGCUUGCUUCUGAAGCUAAGCAGGGUUGGUCCUGGUCAGUUCCUGGAUGGGAGACCAGAUGCUGCUGGAAGUGGUGUUGGAGGGCCAGUAGGAGGCACUCUUUCCUCUGGUCUAAAAAAAAUAUAUCCCAAUCCCCCAGGGCAGUGAUUGGGGACACAACUCUACCGACAUGUACAUACUACCUCAACUAACCGGUGCCCCCUGCAUACCACCCAGCAUACCACCCUGCAUACCACCCUGCAUACCACCCUGCAUACCAGCCUGCAUACCACCCAGCAUACCACCCAGCAUACCACCCUGCAUACCACCCAGCAUACCACUGCUGGCUUGCUUCUGAAGCUAAGCAGGGUUGGUCCUGGUCAGUUCCUGGAUGGGAGACCAGAUGCUGCUGGAAGUGGUGUUGGAGGGCCAGUAGGAGGCACUCUUUCCUCUGGUCUAAAAAAAAUAUAUCCCCCGCACAUUGACUCUGUACCGGCACCCCCCUGUAUAUAUUGUUAUUUUUUAAUGCUGCUCUUUAAUUACAUGUUACUUUUAUCUCUUAUUCUUAUCCAAGUAGAUUUAAGUCAAAACUCUACUGCCUUCUUGGAACAUCGACUGUUCUCAUGGAACAUCGACUGUUCUCUCGGAACAUCGACUGUUCUCAUGGAACAUCGACUGUCUUCUUGGAACAUCGACUGUUCUCUUGGAACAUCGACUGUCUUCUCGGAACAUCGACUGUUCUCUCGGAACAUCGACUGUCUUCUUGGAACAUCGACUGUCUUCUUGGAACAUCGACUGUUCUCUCGGAACAUCGACUGUUCUCAUGGAACAUCGACUGUCUUCUUGGAACAUCGACUGUUCUCUCGGAACAUCGACUGUCUUCUUGGAACAUCGACUGUCUUCUCGGAACAUCGACUGUCUUCUCGGAACAUCGACUGUCUUCUCGGAACAUCGACUGUCUUCUCGGAACAUCGACUGUCUUCUUGGAACAUCGACUGUCUUCUCGGAACAUCGACUGUUCUCAUGGAACAUCGACUGUCAUCUUGGAACAUCGACUGUCUUCUCGGAACAUCGACUGUCUUCUCGGAACAUCGACUGUUCUCAUGGAACAUCGACUGUCUUCUCG